rnacentral:rRNA from 1 species
CCUACGGGAGGCAGCAGUGGGGAAUAUUGGGCAAUGGAGGAAACUCUGACCCAGCGACGCCGCGUGCGGGAUGAAGGCCUUCGGGUUGUAAACCGCUUUCAGUAGGGAAGAAGCGAAAGUGACGGUACCUACAAAAGAAGCACCGGCUAACUAUGUGCCAGCAGCCGCGGUAAUACAUAGGGUGCAAGCGUUGUCCGGAAUUAUUGGGCGUAAAGAGCUCGUAGGUCGUUUGUUACGUCGGAUGUGAAAACCUGAGGCUCAACCUCAGGCCUGCAUUCGAUACGGGCAAACUAGAGUUUGGUAGGGGAGACUGGAAUUCCUGGUGUAGCGGUGGAAUGCGCAGAUAUCAGGAGGAACACCAAUGGCGAAGGCAGGUCUCUGGGCCAAUACUGACACUGAGGAGCGAAAGUCUGGGGAGCGAACAGGAUUAGAUACCCUGGUAGUCCAGACCGUAAACGGUGGGCACUAGUUGUGGGAACCUUCCACGGUUUCUGCGACGCAGCUAACGCAUUAAGUGCCCCGCCUGGGGAGUACGAUCGCAAGAUUAAAACUCAAAUGAAUUGCGG